rnacentral:rRNA from 1 species
GACGAACGCUGGCGGCGUGCCUAAUACAUGCAAGUCGAACGCAGUGGGGACGGGUGAGUAACACGUGGGUAACCUCCCAUCAGAGGGGAUAACACUUGGAAACAGGUGCUAAACCGAUACUGAUGGAUGGACCCGCGGUGCAUUAGCCAGUUGGGGAGGUAACGGCUCACCCAGGCCACGAUGCAUAGCCGACCUGGUAGGGGGAUCGGCAACACUGGGACUGAGACACGGCCCAGACUCCUACGGGAGGCAGCAGUAGGGAAUCUUCGGCAAUGGACGAAAGUCUGACCGAGCAACGCCGCGUGAGUGAAGAAGGUUUUCGGAUCGUAAAGCUCUGUUGUUAAGGAAGCGGUACUUAACCAGAAAGGGACGGCUAACUACGUGCCAGCCGCCGCGGUAAUUC